UACGUAGGCAGCGAGCGUUGUUCGGAGUUACUGGGCGUAAAGGGUGUGUAGGCGGUCCUCUAAGUUUGGUGUGAAAUCUCCCGGCUCAACCGGGAGGGUGCGCCGAAAACUGGGGGGCUAGAGUGCGGGAUGGGUAAGUGGAAUUCCUGGUGUAGCGGUGAAAUGCGUAGAUAUCAGGAGGAACACCGGUGGCGAAGGCGGAUCUCUGGGCCUGUUCUGACGCUGAGGCGCGAAAGCUAGGGGAGCGAACAGG
rnacentral:rRNA from 1 species